GAAAAUCUCCUCUUCGAUCUAUUAUAUGCCAAGUUCGAGGGUUUAUAGAUUGUAUGGCGUUCUUGCAAGAUUAGUAGGGGUUGAUCGUGUGUGGCCUAGAUUUUAGGAGUUAUGGUUUGAGCUGGGGAUCGAGUUAGGGUUCUUGUUCGAGGCUUUGGAUUUGUUCUGGUGAUGGUUUGACAUAUAGAUCUGCUCCAGAUCUGAUAAAUUGUGUGCAUAUUAGUUAUUUUUCCAUUAUCA
rnacentral:lncRNA from 1 species